GAUGAACGCUAGCGGCAGGCCUAACACAUGCAAGUCGAGGGGUAGAGGUUGCUUGCAACCUUGAGACCGGCGCACGGGUGCGUAACGCGUAUGCAAUCUGCCUUGUACUGAGGGAUAGCCCAGAGAAAUUUGGAUUAAUACCUCAUAGUAUCUUUUCCCGGCUUCGGGAGAUUAUUAAAGUUCCAACGGUACAAGAUGAGCAUGCGUCCCAUUAGCUAGUUGGUAUGGUAACGGCAUACCAAGGCAAUGAUGGGUAGGGGUCCUGAGAGGGAGAUCCCCCACACUGGUACUGGGACACGGACCAGACUCCUACGGGAGGCAGCAGUGAGGAAUAUUGGUCAAUGGGCGCAAGCCUGAACCAGCCAUGCCGCGUGCAGGAUGAAGCAUCUAUGGUGUGUAAACUGCUUUUAUACGGGAAGAAACACCGGUUCGUGAACCGGCUUGACGGUACCGUAAGAAUAAGGAUCGGCUAACUCCGUGCCAGCAGCCGCCGUAA
rnacentral:rRNA from 1 species